rnacentral:rRNA from 1 species
UACGUAGGUGGCAAGCGUUGUCCGGAUUUACUGGGCGUAAAGAGCGCGCAGGCGGUCGAUCAAGUCGAGUGUGAAAGCCCCCGGCUCAACUGGGGAGGGUCAUUCGAUACUGAUCGACUCGAAGGCAGGAGAGGGUAGUGGAAUUCCCGGUGUAGUGGUGAAAUGCGUAGAUAUCGGGAGGAACACCAGUGGCGAAGGCGGCUACCUGGCCUGUUCUUGACGCUGAGGCGCGAAAGCUAGGGGAGCAAACGGG